AGGAGGAGGAGCGGGAGGGGAGGGGAGGAAGGAAUCAGCGCGCUGCUAUUUAAGGGCGCGGCGAGGUAUCGCGGGGCACCAUUCUCGCCGACGACGCCGCUACGUGCCCGAGGAAUACCCGCACGCGAGAGAGAGCAAGAGCGAGCGAGAGCAAGAGCCUGCGUCUUUGUGCCACCUGUGGGUAGACUUUAUUUGUAAAAGAUGGAGAACGUCAACCUCGUUAUGACUUAUGUUAUUCUCAUAACGUUUCUAGUGGUGUUAUAUAUGUUUUUGGAAGGUCUAAUAUUCUAAGAAGAAAGUAGCCAUGUAGGGUAUCUCUCAUCCCUGUGAAACCCUCCCUUUACCCUUCCCCCAUUUCCUAACCCUCCCUCCCCUUCCCCCUUGUAAACUAUGUAGUGAUUCCUAACCUCAAUAACGUAAUGUAAGUCUUUUUUUAUAUACAUUUUAAGAAAUGAUCUCUCCAGCGUAUUUUUUCACUCGUGCCCACCUAUUUUUGUUUUUCGUUCCUUUUUUUUCCCUCAAAAUUUCAUCUUAAACAGAACUCUCCCUUUCCUUUCUCCAGCGACCGCACCCGUUCUUCUCCCUCCUUCAACACCCUCCCCCACCUUGAAGCGCCUCCCGCCUGCCUUCCCUCCCUCGCAAGCAGUGUUGGAGGCAAGUGUUCUUCGCCGCCACGAUGGAAAACAAGUCCCUCGCCAGCACCUACUUCGUCCUCCUCGCCUGCCUGGCCGUGCUCUACGUCGUUCUCGAAGUGAUGUGAGCGGUGUGUCCGAAAGAGGAAGACAAAGGAAGGGAAAUAAAGUGAUACACGCAGGGGAAGGGAAAAGGGCAUAAAAGCGAAGAGAAAGGGGUAGCUGUGAAGUUAUUUUUGGGUAAGGAGAGUCCGGAACGUCAUGUUUAGCGGUGAGAACAGGUCCCUCGUUUUCACGUACGGUAUCCUGUUGGCCUUCUUGGUGGUUUUGUAUCUCUUCCUUCAGGGGGCCUUUUAAAGACGAAGAGCCUUAGGAAGUGGGAAAGGAGUAAGGCAAGAGGAAUAAAAAGAAUUAAGAAGAAAUUCACACAAAAGUAAACAAAGAUGGAGAACACAAACCUGGGCUACACGUAUGCCAUUCUGCUGGCCUUCCUCGUCGUGCUGUACUUGGUCCUGGACAGCGCCUUCUUCUAAGUCGUUCCCUCAGCGACGCGGAGAUCGACUCGCCCUUGAACCAUGGAGGAGAACAAGAACCUCGCUUUCACUUACCUUAUCUUGGUGACCUUCCUGGUGGCCCUGUAUGUGAUCCUCGAAGGCACCAUAUUCUAGGGCCCACCAUGCCCAAGGACAGCGACAGUGUGAGCUUGUUCCACAACUGCAUGGUGCUCGUCGGUCUCCUUGUGGCGCUCUAUCUGUUCGUAGAGAGUUCCGGAAGUUAACACUUGUCUUGUAAAGAGCAACGACGCCGACGACAGACCUCGACCAAAGCCAGGGCAGAAGGUCUCGCUGUGCCGAGGGUCAAGAAUCUCUUCCACGCUUACCCUAUCUCGAUGGCUUUCCCGCCUGCCUUUCGCAUCUCGUACGAAGCCUAGCCCUUUGAGAUAUAUAUUUGUAUAAGAUAUAAGAACAAGCACCGACAAGGGAAUACGUCGAGUUUACUGCUUAAGAUCGUUUCAUCAGCUGCUUGGCAUGGCCGCUGUCGAGAAGCAGCUGUUUGGUUGUACGUACGCCGUGCUGCUGUGCUUCCUUCUGGUGGUGUAUGCCAUAUUCCAGUCUUAGACCUACACCGUAACCGCCCAUAGGCCUAGAAGGACGCCGAAACCCGCUUUAAGAAGCGCGGCGUUCUUUUGGGUUAUCGGAGAAACCCCGAGCUUCAUCCCCAAUACGCUGGAGAAACCCUCGCCCUCAACCUCGCCUAUCUCACACAACCCUUCACACACCCUGUCACAACUCCUCCCUUUGAGAAGGUAAUAUAUUUCAAGCAAGCGCUGUUGCUCACUUCCGUUCGCAACCGUUGGCAGACAUUACUCAUAGUGCUCUCCUGACCAACGUCACGGGCAAGGUGUGGAUAGUGAUUCAGGGACGUCGGCCUCCACCUGCACACGCUAAGAAAGUGCACUGUUCUUUUGGCUGAUCAAGAAGGUCACUCGCGUUUUCGGUAUAAGUAGGCCCUGCAUCUGACAAGAUCAAGUUUAAAGAUUGCACCGACCGAGCUGCUUUAUCGCCCGAACUGCGAUCCUAGAAAGUUCUCGCGGUCGACUUCUUUCGCCGCUUCCGGAAGCGACUCAAGAUGGACCUGUACCUCCUGUCGCCGCCCUUCCUCAAGAAAAUGAUUCGACGACCGUCCUCUGCAGGCCAGGAUGCGACUUCUCUAUCCCAGGAGGACGUACUGGCUGUUGCGGAGGGGCCUCUGCCUUCCGCAGAAGGCCCUCUCGACGGGGACUUCGAAGGAAACGUCGACAAGGCGGGGGCAUGGCACGGGCGGCGUCGGUCCAGCCUCGACCGGAUGCUGCGCCAGCACGCCUACAUCAUCAUCUGUGCCCUCUGCUAUGCUUGUAACACGUUGCCGUCACACAUGACCUGAACUUCAGGAGCGUGAAGCCCCCGCAUACCCCGCGUCCACGUCAGGAGGGUGAGGGGGCCUUCUGAGCCUUGCACUUUUCAGAUCACGUUCAGGAUAGAGGAAUUUGUGUGGCAUCAAUCCUGAAUUUCAGGGCCAUCGUGUGACUCCCUCCAAGCCCUAUCGAGGGGUUGUGUCUCACGAGUCGAGUGCGAAACUAAAAGAUCAGUAAUCGGCAGCGCACUCUCUGCUGUUCCUAAGCCUGGCUGUCAUAGGGAGUAGUUCCGUCGCAGUAUAGUCUUGAAAGAGCAUCUCUCAAAGAGCAAAAACAAAAAAAUAUAAAUGUAUUUAGCUGUAGAUCGCUCAGUUUUUGGUCAGUUAAAUAGUUUAAUCGAAGGUGUCUGGUUGUAACAACGGUAGCUCUAGCGUGGUCCCUCGUCUCGGUUCGUUACUCGUUACUCGCGUGAUCUUUCAAGUAACAAGUAAUUUUAUGUCUUUAAGUAGAUACCAAGACAGGUGCAGUAGAGAUGAUUUCGGUCCUCCCUUCUCACUCGGAAGCACCUGUUAAGUAGAUAAAUGUAUAUUAGUAUACAUAUGUACAUACAUGCAUAUAUAUACAUAUACAUAUAUACAUACAUAUAUUAAUCUAUGUGUGUAUUCGAAUAUAUGUAUGCAUUUAUGUACAUGCACACGUUUUUAAAGACUGUAGACUAUCUUUUACUGAGCCUAAUGACGUCACAGUAAUGGACGUUCGAUCUUUGUUCAUUUACUUAUUCACAUUUUUUUUCUCGACAUAGCUCUUCUUAAGAUGUAAUGUUACUAACGUGCGCAUUACUUUGUUUUCAAAUUUCUAGUCCUUAUUUUUUGGCUGUAGACGCACUUCCUUCGGCCUGCUCCCAAGGAGUGUAAUAGACAUCACUAACGUCUUGACGAAACGAGACAUAAAAACCAUGAUUAUGUUGUUAACGUUUAAAAUUAUCAUCAUUUACUUCGUUAUUUGUUGUUUUUUUAUUCAUUUAUCUUCUGUCAUAAGGAACAACUGUUAUGUAGAUCAGUCAGUCGCCACGGUUUGAAAUCUGAAAUAUCUUAAUAACAUUGAUUAGAUUUUGAAAUUGUUAUGAUUUUUUUUUAUAGUUACAACAAUCCCAAAUCUCUGACUUGUUAUCAUUGGCUAAGCGACUGCGAGUGGGUGACAGUGCAAUAUGUAUAAACGGUGGUAGUUAUAGUGACUUUUUAUAUGUAUUCAGAGUAAAUAAUUUAUUAAUGA
rnacentral:lncRNA from 1 species